rnacentral:lncRNA from 10 species
GCCCUUCUCGAGGCCGGUGCUUGACUGGAGGAGGGCUGGCAGCAGAAGUGCAGCUGACCGGGUUGCGUUUUCGUACGGCUGACUAAAGCGGAUACCGGUGGCGACUCAUUUCUCGUUUUAUUUUUCAACGAUUUGGCGGAGAAGCUCCUCUUGUGAAUGGACUUUGGAUUUCUUGGAGCUGCGCUGCGGGUCCCACAGUGUGGCUUUCGGCCCGUGCUGUGCUGGCGCCUGCACUUCCUCUGGCGGGGCACGGGGUGGCGCUCCCUGGUAAAGCAGCGGCCAGGGGGAGCCGUGAGUGAGGCGCUGCCUCUCCCGCUGAAGCGGGUUCCAAGGCCACCGUGAGGGGGACCAUCCAUCCAGGUAAAACGUGUUCUUUCCUUGUUCCUUUGCGAAUCGAUGGGGAUCAGGCUUCCCCAGGUGGUGAAGUGAGGAACAGGGACCGCGGGGCUCGCCUGACCAGUGGGGUCUCCAUCCUUGUCCGUGCUGACAAAAGACAAGAACAGACAGCGCCUGAAAUCUUCCCGCCUCCGUGAGGGAAGCCUGCGUCUGGGAACGCGCCGCAGGGAAGUGAUCCCUGAGUGAGGGAGGAGGUGCCGGGGCAUCAUUAAUCAGACCUCAAUGCCGGGAAGGUUCUUUGUUUAAAGAAACACUCAUGUUUAAAGAGCACUUGGUGCGGACUUGCUGUGGCCAUCGCCCUCAACAGCUCAUCUUUAGGAGGUGCAGGCUGAAUUCACGCCUCGGUGUCGUCCAUGUCUGCCUGCCGCGCAGAGGAGACAGCGAGAGGCCUUCCCACCGCACGGCUUUUACGGGAAGCUCUUCGCAUUGGCUACAGGGGUGUGGUUUGGUUUAUAGCCACACCAAGUAAUUUUAAUAGAACUCAAUAACUGUGUUGCCUUGCAGGCUCCGAGUGCUACAGGCAGACCCGAGUCCGAGUCUUCCUACGGUUCAUUGUCCCCCCCUGGAUUUCCUAGGGACUCCAGAUACGAUGGCAUCGAUGUCAGUUAACUUGGCACUUCUUAAAAUAGAUCUAUGAUCAAAUCUUAAGUUUUUCCGAAUAAGACUCUGGAGGAAUGCAGGAAGGUCAUUUGAUUACUUUAAAAUAAGAGGAUUUUAUGUUAAAAUAUUGAAAAAGCCAGUCAUAAAACUAAGCUCUGUACCAAUGAAUAUAGUUCGCGAAGCCAGCAGCACAGGCUUAUUAUUAUAAAUAUCAAACACCACCA